rnacentral:rRNA from 1 species
GUCGUCAGCUCGUGUCGUGAGGAUGUUGGGUUAAGUCCCGCAACGAGCGCAACCCCUAUUGUUAGUUGCCAUCAUUCAGUUGGGCACUCUAGCGAGACUGCCGGUAAUAAACCGGAGGAAGGUGGGGGAUGACGUCAAAUCAUCAUGCCCCUUAUGACCUGGGCUACACACGUGCUACAAUGGUUGGUACAACGAGUUGCGAGUCGGUGACGGCGAGCUAAUCUCUUAAAGCCAAUCUCAGUUCGGAUUGUAGGCUGCAACUCGCCUACAUGAAGUCCGGAAUCGCUAGUAAUCGCGGAUCAGCACGCCGCGGUGAAUACGUUCUCGGGCCUU